GCCAAGAGCCAACUGCUUGACUGGAUUUGAAGUCUUGGGGCUUCUGGCUGAUCUGAAGGAAGAAGCUGGGUUUAUCUCUGGGACUUGGGAUAAUCAAGCUGGAAGUGAUCUGGCUGAUCUGAAGGCAGAAGAAGAAGGACAAGAGUCCAUACAUCUCUCCCUGACUGGCUGUUUCAUGCUAGUGACUGAAUUGCCAUUUCUCUCAAUAUCCUCCAACCAUACACUCAUUGUAAUCCCAUCCCUCUUACCUUAUCCUCCAUCUUUCCUGUUUUCCCCAAUAAACCCUGACUUGAGAUAAAGAAGAGAAAAGAAUAUUUCCUCUGAAACAUCACAGCUCACCCUGAGUGUCUUAGAAGGGGCUGAAGAAGAGAGGGGGAGGGGAAACUGAAGGGAAGAAGAGAGGAGGAAGGGAGGUUUAGAGGGAGGAGGGUAGGUAAAAGAAUACCUGAUCCAUUAGUUAUCUAGUAUCUGUCCAAUAUACACCCUCAAAUAUCAUCUAUUUCACUAGCUGUGUGACCCUGGACAAGUCACUUAAUCCUGCUCCACUCGUUUCUUAUCUGUAAGAUUAACUGGAGAAGGCAAUGGCAAAGCACUCUAGUAACUUUGUCAAGAAAGCUGCACUGGGGCCCUGAAGAGUAGGGUGUGACUGGAAGGCUGACUAAAAAUGACAAGGACAUACAGACGCAUAAACAUACAUAUCAGAUAGACAUAUAUGUAUCCGUGAAGUCAAACCGGCUCAAGUAGCAAGAGCCCAGAAGCAGCAUCUGCCACGGACAUCCAUCCCGACAAGAGCUAGGCCAGAACCCUGAACCCCAAAGCCUUAGCUCCGCCCCGCAGUCCUCCCUGCGCCCUGUGAAGUGACUCGGCAUCGGGAUCUUCUCUCGCCGCCAUCACGAUGGCGAAGCUGUCAGAGAAGUGCUCCUGCCCUUUGCUUCUGGGCGGGGAAGAACUUUCCACGGGACUCGCAGCUAGAAUCUUCCUUCUGCCUUGGCCUGGCUGUGGGACUGCCGGACCCAGCCUGGAUCUAAUGUGUGCUUCGUUCAUUCCUUUGUCUGUAUAUACGUGGGCCCAAACUGCCAGUUCUGCCCGCAGUCCGCCAUAUCUGGACGCACACGUGUCCUCUGAGCAGCUUCUUCUUUCCGCCCAAUGAAUCCACGGCCGCCUUGAGCUCUGGGAACGCGCAGAGGGGCGCACCGGAAGCCAUUAUUUGUAGGCUGUUUCCGCGGGGCCGCGUAAGGUGAAAACUGCCGCCUGGAGCCCUUCGGAGGGGCUGUGGCCAGGCACGUAGGAGGAGAGAGUUCUGGGACCGGGAAGCUCGUGUUUCCUGGGUUUGCGGGACGACGAAGAUGCCGAGUUCAGGAAACUCGCUUUGGGCUGGGCUUGUUUUCCGGAGAAGUUCAGUCCCUUCUAAGGCUGCCUCUCUGCACGCCCAGGGCCAGUGGCCUGGCCACAAACGAGCCCGGAAAUCAGGUCUGAAGUCUCUGAUCAUUUGGAAAAGAUGGAGCUAACCGGAAGCUCCGCAAGGGAGGCCAGUGGGGCUGAGGCCAGCCAGGGAGGGGCUCAGCUGAUGGCUCAGAAUUGUCUGCCCAUAUGGACGAGCAGCACGUAAUGAGGAUGGAUGGCGCACCUAAGUGGAUCGGAAAUGGCUGCAGCGAGGGAGGGAUGGAGCCGCUGCCGGGCUUCCUUUGAACACUGCUCAGGGAUGAGGCUACCUUUGAGGCUGAGGGAAAGCUCUCUCCUUUUGUCCUGGGAGCUGACCAAGGGAGGCCUGAUGGAAACACACAUUCUCCAAGCACCCAGGGCCGGGGCGAGCGGGUGCCCCCUCCCGGCUUCCAAACAAAAGCCUUUCUCUCGCGAGCUGCCCAGGGUUCCGGCAGGCCAAGGUGGCCUCUCUGAAAACCAGGGAUGUGACUCUGCUGGGUAAUCAAGAUAAAUGGAGGCAGGCUGAGAGCAAAGCUGUCUAAAAGAAUACGGGGGUGAUAUUAAUAACUAAUGAUCCAGGUUGGGGCAUUAUUGAAGGCAAUAGAAGUAAAUAAAUCAACAGCUUUGUGCAAAUAAUUCUUUCUAUCUACCUGCUUAAGAGAGUGUGAAUUGUUGUGGUGCAGCUUGAUUUCAUAUUCCCAUCAUUCCAGGAAAGUGCCGAUGCAGGAAGCUCUCUCGCAAUGAAUAUUUCACCAGACAGUGGAGGGAGGCAGAAAAAAUCCAAAAAUGCAUCUAUUGGGUCCCUGACGGUAUUAUAAAAGGAUCAAGCAUUCGAGUUCAUUUCCAAAUAACAAUAAUAAUGCUUUAUAGUUACACAGCACAUUGGGUCCAAGGAUUUCAAAAGGUCAGCUCCAUCCACAGCAGACGAGUCUUUUUUUCAUUAAAAUUAAUAGCACUUCUGCUGCUGAAAAUUCAAAACUGAUAAAUAGUAUCUGACUUCUGCAAUGUUAGCAAAGUGUGGGCAAUGAGAAAGUUCUAGAACUCUGGAGCAUCGCCCUCUCCAUCCUUUUUAAUCAACUUACCGAGCAGGCCAAGAAUAAAGACAGACUCUGGACACUCAAUCUGGGGGCUCCUGCCAAAGCCAUGCGAAUUCCCAAAGAGUAAAGGCUGGUCUCUGAAGGACUUCUCUGGCUCCUCUUUUCAUUGCUAGAGAGAAUGUUCUUUGAGCUAGGAAAGGGUGGGGAUUGGGGAGGGGGGGAAUCAUGAUUGCAAGUAAAAGGAGCCCAAGAUAACAGCAGAGACAGCCCAAGCCAUAUCUCUCUGCCCUCAAAGAGGCCACAACAUCAGGACUGGACAAAGCACUUCCUGGAAGAGUGAAUGAAUGUGAACUGAGAUUGCCCAGGAAGCUGUGAAAGUGGAAAAAACCCCAGAGAUUUAGGGGAGAGCCAGGGGUGCAUUCCAGGAGGACUACAGAAAGGCAAAUGAAAUGAUCAAACAAUCAAAACAAAUAAAGAUUGAGUCUGAAAACCCUAAACCAACAAACCCAGGAAUUGUGUGAACACAAUUACAGAACAGUCUUCACACAAAUGAAGUCAGAUCUAACCAUUCAUUUGUUCAUGGGUAGGUAGAACCAAUAGAAAAAAAAAUGACAACUCUACCUAAAUCAACUUACUCUCCAAUGCCAUGCCAGUCAAACUACCCAAAAAUUAUUUCAGAGCUACAAAAAAAUACCAUUUAUCUGGAAGUACAAAAGGUCAAGAAUAUCGGGAAUUGAUGACAAAAUAUGAAGGAAGGUAAUCUAGCUAUACUGGAUUUCAAACUAUUAUAAAGUGACAGUCACCAGAACAAUCUGGUGGAUCUGCAGUGGACCAAUGGAAUAGAUUGGGCACUCAGUGUGCAGCAGUAAAUGACUAAACGUGCACUAGUAAAAUACUUCACACUCUUGCUCUAAAGAUCAAGAAUUUUGUUUUUAAUUUGGUACCUAUGAAGCUUCAGGAGAUGGCUUAGUAACCAUAGCAACACUAGCCUUUGACAAACCCAACGAUGCAAGCUUUUGGAGGAAUAAUUCACUAUUUGAGAAAAACUGCUGGGAAAACUGGAAAACGGUGCAGCAGAAACGAGACAUGGGCCAACACCUCACACCAUAUAUCAAGCUAAAAUCAAAAUGGAUACAUGAUUUAGCAAUAAAGGGUGACACUACCAUAAAAUUUUUAGGAGAACACAAAAUAGUUUCCUUUUCAGGCUCCUAAAUAAGGGACAAAAUGAUGACCAAACAAGACACAAAAAAUUACAAGAUAUAAAACAGAUAACUUUGCCUAUGUUAAAUUUAAAAGGGUGGUGGCACAGACAAAACCAAUGCAAGUUGGAUUAGAAGAGAAGCUACAAACUGGGGUGGGGAGAGAUUUACAGCAAAUGUCUCUAAAAAGGGCCUCAUUUCUCAACUAGAGGGAGAAAUUUAUAAGAAUACAAAGCAUUUCCCAGUUGACAAAUGAACAAACAGGCAAUUCCUGGAUGAAGAAAUUAAAAACAUUUUUAUUUAUAUGAAUAAAUGCUCCAACUCACUAUUGAUUCAAGGAAUAGAAAUUAAAACAACUCAGAGGCAUCGCCUCAUAGCUCUCAGACUGGCUAAUAUGACAAAAAAGAAAAAUGAUGAAAGUGUGGGGAAACUGCUGAUGGCACCAUGAGCUGAUACAACCAUUCUGGAGAGCAAGUCUGAGCCAUGCACAAAGGGCCAGAAAACUGUGCAUACCCUUUGACAUAGCCAAACAACUACUAGAUCCAUAUUCCCAAAGAUAUCAAAUAUAGGGGGAAAAGACCUACUUGUACCCAAAUAUUUAUAGAAGUUCUUCUGUGGUGGCAAAAAAUUAGAAACCAAAGGGAUGUCCAUCAACUGGGAAAUGGCUAUGGUACAUGGUUGUAAUGAUACACAGGAGAGCGUGCACACACACACACACACACACACACAGAGAAAGACUUAUAUGAAAUGAUGCAAAAAAAGAGAGCAGAUCUGGAAGAAAGAUGUACAUAGUAACAGCAGUGUUGUAUGAUGAGCAUCUGUAAAAGACUAAACUAUUAUCAGCAAUAUAAUGAUCCAAGAGAACCCAACAAGACUCAUGGUGACAAAGAAUGACCACCGCCAUAGAAGAAAUGGAUGGAGUUGCUCCAGAAUGAAACAUACCAUUCUUCAUGUUAUUCCUUUCAUGGGUUUUUGCUUGUCUAAGUAAUAUAUGUCUUCUUUUACAACUUGAUGGACACAGAGAUAUAUAUAUUGCAGGAUAAUGCAUGCAUAACCUGCAUCAUAUUACCUGCUGUCUCGGAGAAGGGUUUGUGGAGGAAUUUCAAACAUGGAUUCUAAAAUGUCAGGAAAAGAUGAUUAAAAAUUGGGAAAUGUAUUUGGGGAAAUAAUCAUUUUAAUAAUAACCACAGAUCAGUGGGAUGGACUUCCCUCAUUAGCAAACCAGAAAGUGAAGCAAUGCUCAUUAAAAAGCAGCACGACUUCACAAUGGAAGAGUGAUGUCAGGCCAACUACAUUCCAUUGUUUUCUUUGGCCUGGUCAAACUGGCUGCUCACAGAUAUGCCCAAGAGCUGUAGUAGGAGUCAGAUUUGCAGCCCUCUCGGUGACUUCCUUCAUCUAGGACCUGACUGGGGAGAAGAAACUCCCUCAACUAUUGCAGUGGCACAUAAAGCUUGAAGAUAACUGAAUUUAUUUAUGAAUGGCAAUUUUCUAUAAAUUGGAAAUCCAAUCAGCAGAGAACAAAAUAGGCCAUUGGCAAGAGUAAUGCAGUGAGAUGGCUGAUUCAGAGAUGGAGAAGAGGAAGAACAAUAUGAAGUUCUGGUCAUCUGAGUGACUCUCAAGUGUAAAGAAGGAAAAAGAGUCAGUGGUUUCUGAUCAAGCCCUAUUUCCUUUCUCUAUCUUUCCUUUGAGACAGCCUUCCUAGGCUCCAGGCUCAAGAUCGGGCAUCUUGUCCUGGGUUCUUUUAGACCAUCAAAUAUGGCACAACUCUGAUUCAUAGAUGAGGAAAAGCUAUCCAAGGCUGCCAGAUAAGUGAGGAUGAUAAGCAGCAACGCAUGUAACCCAUGAGCUGAUUCCAAGAUAGCUUCCUCUUAGAGGUACAUCUAGAUCUUGCAACACCCCCAGGUAAUCUCCUGCCUCAGUUCUCAGUCCAAUAUCUGACAAGCCCCCUGGACAGUUGUCUUCACAUGCCACACUCAGGUGAAUUUAAUGUGUGCUGUCAGCAAGGGGGAACUCUCCUCUUCCCAAGGGCAUCAUUACCUUGUCCGUAAUGCCAUUAUGGCAUCUCACAUGUGGGCACUUUUGUCCUCGUGCUUUUUGGCCCAGCUGGUUAUUUGGAGGCUCAUCAUGUGUGACUCCAGUUACUGUCAGAGGUCUGGGUCCUGAAGAGGCUUAAAACAAAAGCUCUCACCCAGGGUGGAGGGACACAAGAUUUUGCUUCUAGAUGGUAAAGGGCAGAAGUUGAACAGGACCUGGGAGAAUCCCAUGACUGUUUUAGGAAAACUGUAUUUAUUCUGAAACAAAAGUCAUUGUAAUGGCUCAAACUGCACCGUGACAGAAGCCCAUCCAGAUGUGAGCAGAGAGCUUGAAAUUCCUCCACUGUGUCCCAAACUUCGCAUUCUACCCUUAUCCCACAACAUUCUCCUUUCUGUGUCCUGAAUUCCAAGCAAACAGAAUUCAUUUGAGCUCCUCAUUAUCAUUUAAUCAUCUGUACUUUCUUUGCCUUAACCCUGGGAAUCCUUCCCUUCAAGAAUGAGUUCCUCAUCCACCUAUCUCAAGUCUGUCCCUUCAGGGCUCGAUCCAUGACUCAGUCAACCAUCAGGGGGAAAAUACCUGGAAGACUUUCUUGGCCUUGACCACCAAGUGUCACAGAAUAGAGCAUCCUUGGGAAAGUGAUGGCCCCAAGCUCUCCUUUAUGUUGCACUUCCCAGAAUGCUCCUGUUCAUCUGUCUCCAGGGCCCGUGUAUGCUUCCCUCUCUCCUUGGAUUGCUUUGGAAUCUUCUUAAAACCCCAAUAGCUCAUUUGGGUGAGGUUCUUAUGAGAAAAAGCAAAGAAACUAAUGAAUGGGUCUUUGACUUUAGCUUUUGGGGAGAGAAAAGCAGGGAGGCAGGGACAGACCACUGGUUCUUACUUCAGAAUGGGAGAGAUUGGCAUGCUAAGCACAGUCAGAGUCAGAUGAUGACCUUUAAUUUACAAAUAAACUGGGAGGCCUUGGGAUCAGACCUUUUCCCCUCCUAAGAUGCCAGUUUCCUCAUCUAUCGGGUAGGGGUGACUGGCCCAUCUAGAAGGUCCCUUUCUGCUCUCUAUCUAGGAAAUUCUGAAGCUUUUUUUAAUGUCCACUUUUGCUGUUAUUAAUCUAGGAGGCAUCACAGUCAAUACAGAGAUGGUUUUAGAGUCAGAAAGAACUGGAUUCAAAUCCUACUCCUAGUUGUUAAUUUGCCCACCUUAGACAAGGCAUUAUAGGGAAAGCCAUGCACAGUUGUUAAGUACCUACUAUGUGCCAGGAAUUGUGUUAAAUGUUUCACCAACAUUAUCUCAUUGGAUCUUCAGAACCUAGAAGGCAGCAGGUCUUCCCCCUGUGUGCAUCUCAGAGAAACUCCCUAAACAUCUCCUAAGUUAAAAAAGGCUGGAGGAAGGGUGUCCCAUCCUAAAGAAAUCACAUCUGGAAUGACUGCGAAAUGGGGAUAUUGAGAUAGAAAGAAACCACAUCUCAGAAUUGGGAAGGUGUUGAUGUGCCUUCCUGGCUUCCACCUGUCAUCACAGCUCACCUCCUUGGUGAUAGCAGCAGGGCACAAGAUUGCUGGGAGAUCCAGUGAGACGCCGAAAUGGUGUAUAAAUGCUACUAAUAUUACCAGCCCUGCUGUCACCAUCCUAGCACGUUUCACUCAGAUACUCUAGAAUGGAGGCAUGAAAGAAUGACAGGCAGAUGGGGAAAAGAUGUUCCAGAUCACCACAGAUGACCCUUCCCUUUUCCAUUUGUGAACGCUCCCUGGGACCCAGGGAGGCCAGUGACAGACCGGAAGCUGAGCCUGGGAUCGCUUCCUGAGCACAGACCUCCUUCUGCUCCCUCGACCGCACCACAUUUGUCCCUGACAGUUCCUCACCGAAACAUGGUCCUGUGUUUCCCGUGUGUCUUUCCAAAGCGACAACACAUGAUCCUCAUGGGACAAAGCCGUUCUCAGUCCCUGUGCCGUGAUAGCAUCUCCCACUAAAAGGGAGCUAAUUACGAAAAUGGACCAGCGUCCUCUCUAAUCUGGAAUAUUGUUUUUUAAUCUAAUUCUCCUUCCAGGAUAAUUACUCAGAAUCAAUCAUUGUCAGGAUUAUAACAGUAAUCAGUUCAGGGCGAGAAAAUGUUGCUCAUAUCUCCGAGUCCAAUUUCUUCCCUAGAUAAAGAGAUCAAAUCAGUUCAGCACCUGGGACAGCAUUCCUGCUAUUUCUGAACAUGCUUCAGCUGUGCUAUGUUCCUUCCAUUUUAAGGUCCUUGGUCAUGUGUGUGUGCAGCAAUGGGAGAAAAUAUUCUAGAAACAAUUACAGCUCUUUGCCACAUUCCUCAAGUGAGAGUCUCACUGCAGAGGGCUCAUCAGAGACUACCACUAGUUCUAGGGGGAUGUCAGCGAGUCGCUUCUUGAAUGGACCACUUCCAGCCUUACAAGCAGACACCUGGAUAGGAAACAUCCCUGGAAAGAGCUUUUCCAGGAAGAGUCUGGCCUGUCACUCCCAGCUCUCUUAGACCAUGCUCAGACGACAAUUCCUCUGCACCUAGAUAAAAACUUAAGAAGAUUCUCUGGCCUCCCAGAACAAAGACGUUUCCCUGGCAUGGAAGCCAUUUUAUGGAUUCUCUCUAUUCCUUGUACCAGAGGCAAACUCCUCUCAAACUAUAUCUAUUAUGUACUUUAAAGAAAAUGAAGGAUCAAAUGUUUGCAAGUGUAUGGAAUCCAGAGUCCACUGAACCAAAGCACUCAUCAUACAAAUGAGGAAACUGAGCCCCAGAGAACUUGAGUAUUGUGCCCAAAAUAAGCCAGGAGGCAAACACUGGAAGAAAUAUUUGAACCUAGGUCUUCUGCUCCUCUGAACACUGAAUGAGUGCUUUGCUUAAACCACCCUCCCUAGCCUUCUGAGCCCAAUGUAUGCCUGUGGUGUUUCAAGAGAAAAAUUCAGCAAAGUAGGCUGGCAGCACCUUUCUUUCUUCGUGUUUUGAAUGGAGCCUAUAAUUGAUCAAGAUUUCUUGCUUUUCUCUAGUUUUCAUUCAGUGCUGAUGGCAAGAUAGGCUUUCACAAGCAGCAAUAACUAACUCCUUAUACUGACGAUUCUUACCACCUCCGAUGACUUACUGCUAAUGAAGCUUCAUGAGAUACACCCCAGCAAAUCCAUCAUAGGGAGAAAAGCUCUCCAAGCUCUGGCCUGUGCCUGACCAUUUUUUGAGUUGGAACUCCAAAACUGUCCUCCCAUUGAGAACCAGCAAACAUUUGUGCCUUGGUGGCAGAUUUCUUUAGAUGCAUGACUUAAUACAAGAAGCUACAGAGAUUAUUGGGAAAAUAUUGAACAGAGAGGCAGAAGGGUCAGAGUUUGAAUCUUGCCCUAGAAACUUGAUAGCUGUAUGACCCUGGGCAAUCAUUUAACUCUCUGAGUCUAAUUUUCCCCAUUGGCAAAAUGGGGUUUUUAAUGGUACCUCCCUCUUAGAGUUGCUGUGAGGAACACAGGAAGGAACAUAUGUAAAUUGUUUUGCAAGCCUUAAAGCACUCUAUGGAGACUAGUUAUUAUUAUUAUCAUCAUCACAUAUGCAUCACUGAUGCUUGGGAGAUUCAGGACUGGCACAGACCUCUCUAAAAGUCAAUGUCAAUUGGACUGGGGUGCAUAUAGAUAUCCUAGGAAUCAUAUUUGGGUCUCUUCUCAAAAUGGGGAAAUGGAAAUGGGGGAAUUCCUUUCCUAUUUUCUCUUUAUCAUUUGCCCAAUUCUGUCUUCAUUUCUCUACCCAGGGAUUUGGAUAAUCUGCCUUUGAUUUAAGAAGAUGAAAGUUUCACUUAGUUCAAUUAUCCCCAAUCUAAAAACCACUAGAUUGAACUGCUUAUAUCUGCAUAAAUUAUGUGAGUGACUCCAGGAAAUUCCUGAAAAAGAAAAAAAAAUGUUAUUUCUAAGCCGAUCUAUCCAGUUGGCAUCAUGCUCAUCUAAAAAAAUAAAUAAAAUAAAACAGAAUAAGCAAAAUCCUCAA